rnacentral:misc_RNA from 1 species
CAGGGCAUUAAAAAACCCCUAAACCCACCUGUGAAUUUACCGCUAUGUUGUUCUUUUGGCAGGCGGCCCCUGGGAGGGGCCUCUAGCUUUUACAGGCGCCUGCCGAAGAAACUCAAAACUCUUGCUGUUUAGGCUGUCUGAGCUAUCAUUUAAUGAGUCA